rnacentral:rRNA from 1 species
GACGAACGCUGGCGGCGUGCUUAACACAUGCAAGUCGAACGGGUCUGCCCUGUUUUUUGCGGGGUGGGUCAGUGGCGAACGGGUGAGUAACACGUGAGUAACCUGCCCCUCACUUCUGGAUAACCGCUUGAAAGGGUGGCUAAUACGGGGUGUUCUGGCUGUGCCGCAUGGUGUGGCUGGGAAAGAUUCACUUUUGUGGUGUUUUGGUGGGGGAUGGGCUCGCGGCCUAUCAGCUUGUUGGUGGGGUGGUGGCCUGCAAAGGCUUUGACGGGUAGCCGGCCUGGGAGGGUGGGCGGUCACGCUGGGACUGGGAUUCGGCCCAGACUCGUGCGGGAGGCAGCAGUGGGGGGUAUUGCACAAUGGGCGGAAGCCUGAUGCAGCGACGUCGCGUGAGGGAUGGAGGCCUUCGGGUUGUGAACCUCUUUCGCCGGUGAAGAAGGUCCUGCUCUUUGUGGUGGGGUUGACGGUAGCCGGGUUAUGAAGCGCCGGCUAACUACGUG